rnacentral:rRNA from 1 species
UACGUAGGGUGCAAGCGUUAAUCGGAAUUACUGGGCGUAAAGCGUGCGCAGGCGGUUAUGUAAGACAGGUGUGAAAUCCCCGGGCUUAACCUGGGAACUGCAUUUGUGACUGCAUAGCUAGAGUACGGUAGAGGGGGAUGGAAUUCCGCGUGUAGCAGUGAAAUGCGUAGAUAUGCGGAGGAACACCGAUGGCGAAGGCAGCCCCCUGGGCUAGCACUGACGCUCAGGCACGAAAGCGUGGGGAGCAAACAGG